GAUGAACGCUGGCGGCGUGCCUAAUACAUGCAAGUCGAGCGAACGGACGAGAAGCUUGCUUCUCUGAUGUUAGCGGCGGACGGGUGAGUAACACGUGGAUAACCUACCUAUAAGACUGGGAUAACUUCGGGAAACCGGAGCUAAUACCGGAUAAUAUUUUGAGCCGCAUGAUUCAAAAGUGAAAGACGGUCUUGCUGUCACUUAUAGAUGGAUCCGCGCUGCAUUAGCUAGUUGGUAAGGUAACGGCUUACCAAGGCAACGAUGCAUAGCCGACCUGAGAGGGUGAUCGGCCACACUGGAACUGAGACACGGUCCAGACUCCUACGGGAGGCAGCAGUAGGGAAUCUUCCGCAAUGGGCGAAAGCCUGACGGAGCAACGCCGCGUGAGUGAUGAAGGUCUUCGGAUCGUAAAACUCUGUUAUUAGGGAAGAACAUAUGUGUAAGUAACUGUGCACAUCUUGACGGUACCUAAUCAGAAAGCCACGGCUAACUACGUG
rnacentral:rRNA from 1 species